GUGCUCACUUCGGCAGCACAUAUACUAAAAUUGGAACGAUACAGAGAAGAUUAGCAUGGCCCCUGCACAAGGAUGACACGCAAAUCUGUGGACCAGAAGGGAAAGCCAGCCUCUU
rnacentral:snRNA from 2 species